rnacentral:tRNA from 2 species
UGGGGUAUCGCCAAGCGGUAAGGCACCGGAUUCUGAUUCCGGCAUUCCGAGGUUCGAAUCCUCGUACCCCAGCCG